rnacentral:misc_RNA from 1 species
CUCCACAAACAAUGACAAACCAGACAAUCAGUAGAAUUUUAAGGCCCCUCUUAUUUUACCCCUAUAUAACUAACUAGGAUCCUCUGUCUAAUAUAGGUACCUCUGUAAAGGUGAUGCUUUGAAUCCAAAUCCUAGNNNNNNNNNNCAAUGGCUGCUGCUACAGUUGUUCCAGUAGCAUACCAACAGGGAAGCCCAGCUGCACCUGAAUGGCUGAACAAAGGCGACAAUGCAUGGCAAAUGAUCUCUGCAACAUUAGUCGGCAUGCAAGGCAUGCCAGGGUUAGUGAUCCUUUAUGCUGGCCUCGUCAAGAAGAAAUGGGCUCUUAACUCAGCAUUUAUGGCACUCUAUGCCUUUGCCGCUGUCAUGCCUUGCUGGGUCCUUUGGGCUUACAAAAUGUCCUUUGGUCAUCAGCUCCUUCCAUUUUGGGGCAAAGCUGGCCUUGCAGUCUCUCAAGACUUCUUGAUUCCUCAAACUAUUCUCCCAUCAACGGAUUACAAAAAUGUUUCUGCAGCUCAACCACUGUAUCCCACAUCUACCAUGGUCUUCUUCCAGUUUGCUUUUGCAGCCGUGACAGUUAUACUCCUUGCUGGAUCAGUUUUAGGCCGGAUGAGCAUCAAAGCUUGGAUGGUCUUUGUACCACUAUGGAUCACCUUCUCCUACAGCGUUGGAGCCUUCAGCAUAUGGGGCGGAGGCUUCCUCUUCCAAUGGGGUAUCAUGGAUUAUUCAGGCGGUUAUGUUGUCCAUCUAGCUUCUGGUGCAGCAGGAUUCACAGCAGCUUAUUGGGUAAGCACCUAUAUAUUCGCCUUUCC